CGCACCCACCCCGGGCCACGGGGAGCCCCAGCAUCGUGCUGGGGGCGCAGAGGGAUUUUCUUCACUUAGAUGGGUGCUCAGAGUGAGAUUUUCAUGCUGAGCCUGGCCCAGCUCCUCAUUCUCCGGGCAUGAAGCCCCCGCAGAGCCACAGGAGCAUCCCCGGACGCUCUCCCGGGACGUCCCCGUGGGCUCCAAGGCCGAGGGGUGAAGCAGCCCCACCCUGGGCCAUGGCUCCCCUCCUCCCCACGGCUCUUUCCAAGCAUUUGUGGCAAAUGUGAUGCUGGAGAAGUUGGGAUCGUGGUGGCCCAGCUGCUGCUCCCUCCUCCGGGUCGGGUCCUCCUUCUCCCCCGUCCUUUGCUCCCCGUAGCUCAGUUAGGCAGGUAGGUGUUAGCAAACUCUGGGCUGUCUGCAAAAACUUCUGUAAAAUAGAAUAGACCCUUUAAAUGAUGCACUAAAAUGAAAAAAAAAUCAUAAAUGCCCCCCCCCGUCAGCUUCUCUGUGUGAUGGUUCCUUGGAUGUCCCCGCUCAGCCCAUCUGUACCGCACAGGCAGCUCUGCAUCCUCCCCCCGGCUGCUGCACAGGUAGAAACAAAACAGGACGUGCAUGUCCCCCGAGGAGUUUUAUUUAUUGUUUUGAGAAGCAAUUGAAAAGGGAAAAACAACAACAAAAAAAGGAGAAACUGUAUCUAUAAUAUAUAUAUAUAUAUAUAUUUUUUUUUUUUUUUUUAAUCUCUUUUUUUUUUUUUCCUGAUGCUCCUCCACCCGUGUGUGUGGGUGUGUGUGUGUGUGCGAGUCAAGGGAUUCGGUGCCCAGGGCUGGCAGCUGUGGGGCAGAUGUGGGGCAGAUGUGGGGCAGAUGUGGGGCAGCUGUGGGCAGCUGUGGGGCAUCUCGGGGCAGCUCGGGGCAGCUGUGGGGCAGCUCGGGGCAGAUGUGGGGCAGAUGUGGCAGCUCGGGGCAGCUGUGGGGCAGCUGUGGGGCAGGGGUGGCUGUGGGGCAGCUGUGGGGCAGGGGUGGCUGUGGGGCAGCCCCAAAUCUCCCCCUGCCUUGCCCCAGGGGCAGCCCAUGCAGCUCGGGGCAGCUGUGGGCAGAUGUGGCAGCUCGGGGCAGCCGCCCUCGGCCCCGCCGGAGCACAGGGACCGGGGCUCCCCUCCCGUCCCAGCUCCCCGCGCCCAGCCGCAGCAGAGCGAGGGGAGGGAGGUUCGUGUCGAGUUUGUGAUGUUUUUUCCGGGAUCUUUGCCCAGUUCCACCUUUCUCUGAAGUGUUUUCAACCCUCGGGGUCUGGCCUGACCGAGAACCUCCCGCGCCCUGGGGGCGUCACCCCCACCCCCGUCCCGUUCCCUCCCUACUUUGCUCCCUUGACAAUCAGUGGCUCCUUCCCAGGGACUGCAGCACGUGGUUGAGACGUCUAUUUCGUUUUUUCAAUAUUCCUUUUUUUGUGCUGUAUGGUGAUGCGUUAUUGUAUAUUCCACAAUAAGACAAAAAAAAUAUAUAAAAAAAUGAUAAUAAUAAUAAUUACCAUGAGAAAUUCUUAUGAGUUUUGUUUGGAAACUCUUUCACUAUAUUUGUUGUAAAGAGGUUUACUAUUAAAAAGAAAAAAAAAAAAUACACGUUUCUGAUAAUUUUCCACGCCUCUGGCU
rnacentral:lncRNA from 1 species